ACUUUACAUCCAAAGAGCUGCUGUCUCAGACACUGGAAGAUACUUCUGUAAUAAUAAACCAGCUGUGGAGCUGACGGUGAUCCCAUCAGCUCGUCUGACAUCACCAACAACAACACGAGCAACAAAAACUACGCCUCCAACAGCGACUUCAACGCCUGCACCAUCAACACCGUUGGCAGCCUCAGGUCCUGAUAACCUGUGGCAAAUCUCAGUUUGUAUCGUGAUUGGAAUACUCUAUUUAAUCAUCAUCAGUUAUCUCACUGUCAUUAUCUGGAGAAAAGCUCGACAGAUAGAGAAGCGAUACGCAGAAACAGAAACUGACCCCUGAUCCUCCGUCACACAGAAACAAGAGGUGUCUGACAGAGCUGGUGGACGUCCUGCACACCUCAACAAUCUCUCCUGUUUUUGGGCUGUUGUUACCUCUGCCAAGAAGGACUAUGCUGUAAUUUAGACUGUGUGACAUCAUUAAAUAUCUUGUAUGAGUAGAUUGCAGUAGUUAAUUGUUUACUUUGCUUGGUGGAUCACUUCCCUCUACUCAGCAAGUGAU